UACGUAGGGUGCAAGCGUUCAUCGGAAUUACUGGGCGUAAAGCGUGCGCAGGCGGCUUUGCAAGACAGAUGUGAAAUCCCCGGGCUUAACCUGGGAACUGCAUUUGUGACUGCAUGGCUGGAGUGCGGCAGAGGGGGAUGGAAUUCCGCGUGUAGCAGUGAAAUGCGUAGAUAUGCGGAGGAACACCGAUGGCGAAGGCAGCCUCCUGGGCCAGCACUGACGCUCAUGCACGAAAGCGUGGGGAGCAAACAGG
rnacentral:rRNA from 1 species